AAACAGAAAAAUAUCUGUGCAGCUGCUGGUACUUGUGGCCUAUGGAAAAAUACAUCAAAUGUAGAUUAUAAAAAUUCAGUUGUAGGGUAUUAAUGAAAAGACCACUUAGUUAAGCAAGUGCACUCUUCAUCUAACUCAUUCUUUGAUGUAUUUGAUUUUAAGUGGUUUGGUUUGUGGAGACCUUGGGUAAGGAGCAUGCUCCGAACUCUUCAUAUUCUCUUCCUGAUAGUGAUAAUAAUAGUCUUCCUGGUAUGCUGUAUUAUCUCAAAGGUUUUAAAUAUUUGCAUGCAGCCAUCUCUAGAAUGUCAACUGGUCUCUAUCCAACUGGAAUGACAAGAGCUGAAGGAAAUGUGAGACCAUGAGGACACCAUAACCUAUGAAUGGCAUGCUGAGACUGGAAACACAAAAUGAUGGUAACUGAGAGUGGUGAGAAGGCCGUAAGUUUUGAUCACUCUCACCUAAAUAAGAACCUGACCAAAAAGGGGGAAUUUGUAAACAAAAUUAUAGGAGGCCAUUUUUGUGGAGUGAGCUCAUGUACUAGGCCCCAACAAACAAACCAAACAAAAAUGGAGAUGCUCAUUCUAAAUGUGACAUAAUCAAACUAAGACUUUAAGGAAACACAUAGGUCCUAGACUAGAAUAGAUUAUGUUUUGUUUUUCUUUUAUAAACAGGAUGUUCCAGCAUAAAGAGGUACCCUCUACUCUGUCCUUGUUCCUACCUUUGUAAAACUCACCGUUCUACUGUUUCCCAGUGGGUUUCAAGACCAAAUAAGUACAUUUACAAUGAUGAUCAUGACAUCAACGACUAAAGUUAUGGUCAAUCUGGCAAAAUUCAGAAAAUGACCAAAAAGGGGGAAAUGUUAAAGCAAACUAAAUAUGGCUUGAGAAGGACUCUGUACUUUUACAUUUGAGUCCUUGUAGAUGAACUGAAGCCAAACUUAAUAGAUAGACAAGUUUGAAACCCUAACUUAGGAGUAUGUGCCUGUAACAAUAGCUGAGACUUAGCCAAUCCCAGAAGCCAUACUUCAACCAGUCAUACACUGCUGAGUGUUCAAACUGUGUUCAAAUAAGGUAAAUGCCAACCUGUAACCAAUCCAGCUGUUUCUGUACCUCAUCUCUUAUUUCUGUACAUCACGUCCCUCUUUUUGUCUGUAAAUUUGUUCUGACCACUAGGCAUCCCUGGAGUCUCUCUGAAUCUGCUGUGAUUCUGGGGACUUCCAAGUUAUUGAAUCUUACAUUGCUCAAAUAAACUCCUUUAAAUU
rnacentral:lncRNA from 1 species